UUUCUAACAUUUUUAUUUUGUUUUGCGGAUGAAAUUUCGAAGAUUCUGUUUUAAAUCCUAGGGGUUGUAGGAAUAUCGUGCCCAACGUUUGAAAGUAGAAAUAGAGCAAUCAGUAUUCGCCCUUAUUACAAGAAGGCAUGUAGUUUGCGCUUAUAUAUAGGGAUGUGGAAAGCUUUGCUUGCCUUGGUAGGACUGAAUGUCAGUCCUUAUUAAAUUCACUUAUAAAUUUUCCAACAAAAAGGAGUUUAAAUUAACCUUAUCUGGCUAA
rnacentral:lncRNA from 1 species